rnacentral:rRNA from 1 species
CCAGACUCCUACGGGAGGCAGCAGUGGGGAAUAUUGCACAAUGGGCGCAAGCCUGAUGCAGCGACGCCGCGUGGGGGAUGACGGCCUUCGGGUUGUAAACUCCUUUCGUUAGGGACGAAGCCGCACCUUUUUUGGGUGUGGUGACGGUACCUUUGUUAAGAAGCACCGGCUAACUACGUGCCAGCAGCCGCGGUAAUACGUAGGGUGCGAGCGUUGUCCGGAAUUACUGGGCGUAAAGAGCUCGUAGGUGGUUUGUUGCGUCGUCUGUGAAAUUCCGGGGCUUAACUUCGGGGUGGCAGGCGAUACGGGCAUAACUAGAGUGCUGUAGGGGAGACUGGAAUUCCUGGUGUAGCGGUGGAAUGCGCAGAUAUCAGGAGGAACACCGAUGGCGAAGGCAGGUCUCUGGGCAGUAACUGACGCUGAGGAGCGAAAGCAUGGGGAGCGAACAGGAUUAGAUACCCUGGUAGUCCAUGCUGUAAACGGUGGGCGUUAGGUGUGGGGACCGGUUUGGUUUCUGUGCCGUAGCUAACGCAUUAAGCGCCCCGCCUGGGGAGUACGGCCGCAAGGCUAAAACUCAAAGGAAUUGACGGGGGCCCGCACAAG